CUCCAGACUCCUACGGGAGGCAGCAGUGGGGGAUAUUGCACAAUGGGGGGAACCCUGAUGCAGCGACGCCGCGUGGGUGAAGGAGCGUUUCGGCGCGUAAAGCCCUAUCGGCAGGGAAGAAGGAGGACGGUACCUGACUAAGAAGCCCCGGCUAACUACGUGCCAGCAGCCGCGGUAAUACGUAGGGGGCAAGCGUUAUCCGGAUUUACUGGGUGUAAAGGGGGCGCAGACGGCAGCGCAAGCCAGGAGUGAAAGCCCGGGGCCCAACCCCGGAACUGCUCUGGAAACUGUGCGGCUAGAGUACUGGAGGGGCAGGCGGAAUUCCUAGUGUAGCGGUGAAAUGCGUAGAUAUUAGGAGGAACACCAGUGGCGAAGGCGGCCUGCUGGACAGUAACUGACGUUGAGGCUCGAAAGCGUGGGGAGCAAACAGGAUUAGAUACCCGGGUC
rnacentral:rRNA from 1 species